ACGAUGAGCCCAGCUUGCUGGGUGGAUUAGUGGCGAACGGGUGAGUAACACGUGAGUAACCUGCCCUUAACUCUGGGAUAAGCCUGGGAAACUGGGUCUAAUACCGGAUAGGAGCGUCCACCGCAUGGUGGGUGUUGGAAAGAUUUAUCGGUUUUGGAUGGACUCGCGGCCUAUCAGCUUGUUGGUGAGGUAAUGGCUCACCAAGGCGACGACGGGUAGCCGGCCUGAGAGGGUGACCGGCCACACUGGGACUGAGACACGGCCCAGACUCCUACGGGAGGCAGCAGUGGGGAAUAUUGCACAAUGGGCGAAAGCCUGAUGCAGCGACGCCGCGUGAGGGAUGACGGCCUUCGGGUUGUAAACCUCUUUCAGUAGGGAAGAAGCGAAAGUGACGGUACCUGCAGAAGAAGCACCGGCUAACUACGUGCCAGCAGCCGCGGUAAUACGUAGGGUGCGAGCGUUAUCCGGAAUUAUUGGGCGUAAAGAGCUCGUAGGCGGUUUGUCGCGUCUGUCGUGAAAGUCCGGGGCUUAACCCCGGAUCUGCGGUGGGUACGGGCAGACUAGAGUGCAGUAGGGGAGACUGGAAUUCCUGGUGUAGCGGUGGAAUGCGCAGAUAUCAGGAGGAACACCGAUGGCGAAGGCAGGUCUCUGGGCUGUAACUGACGCUGAGGAGCGAAAGCAUGGGGAGCGAACAGGAUUAGAUACCCUGGUAGUCCAUGCCGUAAACGUUGGGGCACUAGGUGUGGGGGACCAUUUCCACGGGUUUCCCGCGUCCGCAGCUAAACGCAUUAAGGCCCCCGCCUGGGGAG
rnacentral:rRNA from 1 species